rnacentral:rRNA from 1 species
UACGUAGGGGGCAAGCGUUGUCCGGAAUUAUUGGGCGUAAAGCGCGCGCAGGCGGUCGUUUAAGUCUGGUGUUUAAUCCCAGGGCUCAACCCUGGUACGCACUGGAAACUGGGCGACUGGAGUGCAGAAGAGGAGAGUGGAAUUCCACGUGUAGCGGUGAAAUGCGUAGAGAUGUGGAGGAACACCAGUGGCGAAGGAGACUCUCUGGUCUGUAACUGACGCUGAGGCGCGAAAGCGUGGGGAGCAAACAGG